rnacentral:rRNA from 1 species
AUGGCUGCUAAGCUUGGGCAUCUAGCCCAAGGAGCUGCAUCAAUACUUUGCCUGUUGAUUUUCUUUGCAGAGCCGUCUGAUUCCGGUGCUCAGGCAAGGGUAUCAGGUGGGGCUGGAACCUGCAUCAGCAGGGAGCGGGAUGCGCUUCUGUCCUUCAAGGCGGGCCUUCUAGACCCUGCUGGCCGUCUCUCGUCAUGGCAGGGUGAAGAUUGCUGUCAGUGGGCGGGAGUCCGGUGCAGCAGCAGAACGGGCCAUGUCGUAAAGCUCGACCUCCGCAACAACUACGUAGUAAGUUCCUUCCAAGGUUUGUACAAGUCCAACAGCCUGAGCUUGUUGAGAAAUGAGAUGAGCUCUUCUUUGGCUGCUUUGCAACAGUUGAGGUAUCUUGACAUGAGUUACAAUGAAUUCAACCACACAAGCAUUCCUGCGUUCAUGGGCUCUCUGCAGAAGCUAAGGUAUCUCAAUCUCUCGUCGUCAGGUUUCAGUGGGAGAAUAUCUUCCCAACUCGGUAAUCUCUCAAAUUUGAAAUAUCUUGAUGUUAGUGGGGGUUACAAUGAUCUGCACGCAGUAGAUCUUGCAUGGUUGUCACGUCUAUCACUGUUGAGUUAUGUUGACAUGAGCGGAGUGGACCUCCUUGCUGUGCGGGAUUGGUUUCACAUGGUUAACAUGCUUUCUUCUCUAAGAGUGCUUCGUUUAGCAAAUUGCGGCCUUACCCACACAGUGUCUGCUACUUCAAAAUCAAAUCUCACACAUCUCCAAGUCCUUGAUCUAUCAUCCAACUCAUUUGACGCAACACUAGAGCAUAACUGGUUCUUCUGGGAUCUCACAAGCCUGAAGGAGCUUCACCUCUCCCAUUGUGAGUGGCAUGGACCUAUUCCUGAACAAUUGGCAAACAUGACAUCCCUUGAAGUAAUUGAUUUUAGUGCAAAUGAUCUUGUGGGUUUGAUACCGAGCAACUUAGAAAACUUGUGCAGUUUGAAAGUGCUGAAUUUUGAUGAUAACAACAUUGAUGUGAGUAUUGGGGAGUUCAUGGAUCGGUUGCCAUGGUGCUCAUGGAGUACAUUACAGAAGUUGUCAAUGAGGAAUACGACUAUGACCGGAAACCUGCCGCUAGAAGUUGGAGCACUUGGUAACUUGACAUUGUUGAGUCUUGGCAAUAAUAAACUCGACGGUGUGCUCGUGAAGGAACAUUUUUCAGGCUUAUUGAAUUUAGAGUACCUGGACUUGUCGGACAACUCCUUGAAAAUGGAUAUUGAACCAAGUUGGGUUCCUCCAUUUAGACUAAAGCACAUAAAUUUAGAGUCAUGCACAGUAGGCCCCCGUUUUCCAGAGUGGCUUAGAUGGCAAACUCGCGUUGAUUAUCUUCUUCUUGGAAAUACAAGUUUGGAUGAUGUUAUUCCUGAUUGGUUUUGGGUGACAUUUUCCCAAGCUUCAGCUUUGGAUGCAUCAGAAAACAUGUUGCGUGGUUCAUUACCGUCAAAUCUACAGCACAUGUCAGCCAACAGUAUUGAUCUGGGGUCAAACAAUCUUACAGGUCUAGUUCCACGGCUAUUCCCUCUAAAUAUAACAAGCUUGGAUCUCUCUUCGAACUCUUUCUCAGGGUCAUUGCCAGCAGAGCUAAAAGCACCACAAAUUUUUAUGUUGUCAUUGGCAGAUAAUAAAAUUACAGGCACCAUUCCAUCAUCUAUGUGCCAAUUGACUAGUCUAGCACGGUUGGACUUGUCAAGAAACAAAUUAACAGGAGAUGUUGUGCAGUGUUGGAAGGAGUCAGAUAACAGUUCUUCAGUGUCCAGAGCAAACUCUGCUGAUCAGUUUGGUUCUCGGAUGUAUAGUCUACGCUUGAGCAACAAUGGUCUCUCAGGUGAAUUCCCUAAAUUUCUUCAGAGUGCCUCACAAUUGAUGUUCCUUGAUCUCUCAUACAAUAAGUUCUCUGGAAUAUUGCCAAAGUGGUUACCAGAAAAAAUGCCACGAUUGGAAAUUUUGACGGUGAGAUCAAACAUGUUCAGUGGUCAUAUUCCCAAGAACCUUACUUGCCUUGAAAACCUUUAUUACUUGGACAUGGCCCAUAACAAUAUAUCAGGAUGCAUACCAUGGUUGCUAUCAAACUUGAAAGCAAUGAGAGUCAAAUAUAAGGAUGUGAUUGACUAUGUUUAUGCGGAUAGCAUGCCAGUAAUCACAAAAGGCCAAACACGUGAUUAUACUCUGGGCGUCUUCAGCCAAGUUGUGAAUCUUGAUCUGUCAUGUAACAGUUUAACAGGACAGAUUCCAGAGGAGAUAAGUUUGCUCAUUGGGCUCACCAGUUUGAAUUUAUCAAGUAAUCAUUUCACCGGCAAAAUCCCAAGCAAGAUAGAUCAUCUGAAGCAGUUGCAGUCCCUCGACCUAUCCUACAACAGUUUUUCUGGUGAAAUCCCAUCGGGUUUGUCGGCUCUAACCUAUCUGAGCUCCUUGAACUUGUCAUACAACAACUUGUCAGGCCCGAUACCAUCGGGGCCGCAGCUGCAAACUCUCGGCAACCAGAUUGAUAUCUACAUCGGCAACCCCGGUCUCUGCGGUCACCCUCUCUCCAAUAACUGCUCUACCGGUACUACUGACACAGAGCAAAGUGUCGUCCAUGAAGUUGCAGAUCAUAUCGCGUAUCUCUACCUUGGGAUGAGCAUAGGGUUUGUGGUCGGCCUUUGGACGGUGUUUUGCACCAUGUUACUGAGGAGAACCUGGGCGAUUUCCUACUUCCAGUUUGUUGACAAGUUGUAUGACGAGGUUUAUGUAUGGGUGGCUAUAACUCGGGCUCGCCUGAUGAAGAAGACCCGCAAAGAUGCAGCGUGA